rnacentral:rRNA from 1 species
UACGGAGGAUGCGAGCGUUAUCCGGAUUUAUUGGGUUUAAAGGGUGUGUAGGCGGCCUUGUAAGUCAGCGGUGAAAUUUUGCAGCUUAACUGUAAAAGUGCCGUUGAUACUGUGAGGCUAGGAUUUGGUUGCUGUGGGUGGAAUGUGUGGUGUAGCGGUGAAAUGCUUAGAGAUCACACAGAAUAUCGAUUGCGAAGGCAGCUCACAAAGCCAAGAUUGACGCUGAGGCACGAAAGUGUGGGGAUCAAACAGGAUUA